UGGGGAAUAUUGGACAAUGGGCGAAAGCCUGAUCCAGCCAUGCCGCGUGUGUGAAGAAGGUCUUCGGAUUGUAAAGCACUUUAAGUUGGGAGGAAGGGCAGUAAGCGAAUACCUUGCUGUUUUGACGUUACCGACAGAAUAAGCACCGGCUAACUCUGUGCCAGCAGCCGCGGUAAUACAGAGGGUGCAAGCGUUAAUCGGAAUUACUGGGCGUAAAGCGCGCGUAGGUGGUUCGUUAAGUUGAAUGUGAAAGCCCCGGGCUCAACCUGGGAACUGCAUCCAAAACUGGCGAGCUAGAUUAGGGCAGAGGGUGGUGGAAUUUCCUGUGUAGCGGUGAAAUGCGUAGAUAUAGGAAGGAACACCAGUGGCGAAGGCGACCACCUGGGCUCAUACUGACACUGAGGUGCGAAAGCGUGGGGAGCAAACAGG
rnacentral:rRNA from 1 species